CCUACACUGCGUGUGAAGGCUGCGGCACAUCGACUUAAUCUCCUUCCACUGAGAAAGAGGGUGCAGGGGCUCACAGCAAAGCAAGCACAGGCUCUUCUAAUUAAGGAUGUUCAAGUCGUCUACCAUUGAACCAAAAUGUGUGAUGAUCCGUUACGACUUUGUGGCACGCAAUUCGAACGAGUUGACUGUGCAAAAGGGUGAGGUGCUAAAGGUGCUGGACGGUGAAAAACAGUGGUGGUUGGUGAGGAACCGCAAUGGUCACACAGGGUAUGUGCCCUGCAAUGUGCUGGAAGAGCUAAAAACAGAAGAGACACCAUACAACCGUGCUGUGUUCUUCAACAACCAGGCUGUGAAUCCUUACAAAGCUACUUCUCCACCUGCCUUGAUAAAUCACGCUGAGAAUGUGGAGAUGAAUAAAUCCUUGUGGGACAAAGACACAAUGCGGCACACAAUCUUCUCUUAUUCUCUUCUCUUGACUUGUCUCUUGAGACCGAACACAGCAGAAGGAGAUGAACGACGAGCUCUUGAAGAGGAUAACGGACAGCAAGGUCCAACCUCCUGCUCGCAACUUCCGGGUGGAACACCCCAUCAGAACGGUGCCCAUCACUUACGAUUCUCAGCCAUUCGAGAUCCGAGGCUGGCUCAACGCCAAGGGUUUCUCCAGGCCGGUAGUGGAUUGUCUGGGCAUUCUGACAGGAGCUCAGUUGUUCUCUCUGAGUAAGGAUGAACUAAAGGCAGUGUGUGGUGAUGAGGGCUCUCGAGUCUACAGCCAGAUCAGUGUGCAGAAAGCACAGAUAGAGAGGAGCAAUGGAAACUCAGAGCUCGAGGAAAUCAUGAAGCGACGGCAGCGGGAGGUAGAUGCUUUUAUGUGGGACUGAUUGCACUCAAACUGCCUGUCAGUCACAGCACAUUUCUGUUCAGCUCACCUCACAUACUCCACAGAUUUUGAAAAGUUGGAGUGAGGAACACAGACACUGUCAAUCCUUUGAUUUGAAUGAAACUGAGCUUAGCAAAACAAAACAAUCUCCAAUGUUUAUGCAUGCUAUUAAUUUAGUAUUUAUUCCUAUUUAUUUUCCUGUCCAUUUAUUCAGUUUUAUUUGCCAAUAUGUUAGAAAUGUUAAGGUAUAUGUAUGUAACUAGU